rnacentral:rRNA from 1 species
AUUGAACGCUGGCGGCAGGCCUAACACAUGCAAGUCGAGCGGUUGAGGUAGCUUGCUACCGAAGCAGCGGCGAACGGGUGAGUAAUACAUGGGAAUCUGCCUGGUAGUGGGGGACAACGUUUCGAAAGGAACGCUAAUACCGCAUACGCCCUACGGGGGAAAGGGGGGGAUCGCAAGACCUCUCGCUAUCAGAUGAGCCCAUGUCAGAGUAGCUUGUUGGUGAGGUAAAGGCUCACCAAGGCGACGAUCUGUAACUGGUCUGAGAGGAUGAUCAGUCACACUGGAACUGAGACACGGUCCAGACUCCUACGGGAGGCAGGAGUGGGGAAUAUUAGACAAGGGGGGCAACCCUGAUCCAGCCAUGCCGCGUGUGUGAAUAAGGCCUUAGGGUUGUAAAGCACUUUCAGUGGGGAGAAAGGUGAUUCACCUAAUACGUGAGUCAAUUGAUGCUACCCACAGAAGAAGCACCGGCUAACUCCGUGCCAGCAGCCGCCGUAA